rnacentral:rRNA from 1 species
UUGGAGGGCAAGUCUGGUGCCAGCAGCCGCGGUAAUUCCAGCUCCAAUAGCGUAUAUUAAAGUUGUUGCAGUUAAAAAGCUCGUAGUUGAAUUUCGGGAUCAAUGUUUCGGUCAUGCCGUUGGUAUGUACUGAUAUUAUUGAUUUCUCACCUUCUAAAGAACCGUAAUGCCAUUAAUUUGGUGUUACGGGGAAUUAGGACUGUUAUCUUGAAAAAAUUAGAGUGUUUAAAGCAGGCUCACGCUUGAAUACAUUAGCAUGGAAUAAUGAAAUAGGACAUCCGAUUCUAUUUUGUUGGUUUCUAGGAUCGAUGUAAUGAUUAAUAGGGAUAGUUGGGGGCAUUAGUAUUCAAUUGUCAGAGGUGAAAUUCUUGGAUUUAUUGAAGACUAACUACUGCGAAAGCAUUUGCCAAGGAUGUUUUCAUUAAUCAAGAACGAAAGUUAGGGGAUCGAAGACGAUCAGAUACCGUCGUAGUCUUAACCAUAAACUAUGCCGACUAGGGAUCGGAUGAUGUUAAUUUUUUGAUGACUCAUUCGGCGCCUUACGGGAAACCAAAGUGUUUGGGUUC